rnacentral:rRNA from 1 species
UCGAGUUCAUCUAAAGAGAAACUGCGAACGGCUCAUUAGAGCAGAUGUCACUUAUUCGGAAAGUCCUUUUGGAUAAAUGCGGCAAUUCUGGAGCUAAUACAUGCGAAUAAACCCUGACUUUCGAAAGGGUGCAAUUAUUAGAGCAAAUCAAUCACCUUCGGGUGUAGUUUGCUGACUCUGAAUAACGCUGCAUAUCGGCGGCUUGUCCGCCGAUAUUCCGAAAAAGUGUCUGCCCUAUCAACCUGAUGGUAGUCUAUUAGUCUACCAUGGUUAUUACGGGUAACGGAGAAUAAGGGUUCGACUCCGGAGAGGGAGCCUUAGAAACGGCUACCACAUCCAAGGAAGGCAGCAGGCGCGUAACUUAUCCACUCUUGAAGAGAUGAGAUAGUGACUAAAAAUAAAAAGACCAUUCCUAUGGAACGGUCAUUUCAAUGAGUUGAUCAUAAAACCUUUU